AAAUGAGGUCAAAGGAGAAAAAACACAACAAAAAGAAAAGAUAUAAAUACUUCAAAAACUUUUCUUCACACACAACCUUGUGCAAAGUGUCCCACCUCAACCAGUUUUUAAAUUGAAGAAGAAGGAGAAGGUGCGCGCGCGUGUAUUUGUGUGCGCGCAAAAAGUUUAAAUGAGGUGACCUACUUGUCAGUAGGCCGUGUACUCAGACAAAUUCCUCUGGUGAUAACAUACUUUUCCUCACUUUUUCUUUAUCAUUAUUAUUAUUGUUUUGAAGAAAAACUAUUUAUUUAAAUAAUUUGAAAGUAUUCCUAAGUUUUUUGGAACACAAAAGCUUCAGAAUCACUACCAUUUUGGCUAUAACUCAAUAUUUUUUUCUUACUAUUCAAAAAUCCUCAAAACGCAGCAAGCGCAAAGGGAGCGCCAGCCAGCCUCUCAUUUACCUCUCCACCCCCUCCCUAACCUGCCCUUGUCUAAUUGCUGGCGUAUCCAUUAGCAUCUUCUGGAUUCACGUUUUAGUUUAACAGCGAGGGCACGUUCAGUGACGUAGCCAAGAACAUCAGCUACGUGCAGCCAUAUUUAAAUACAUCAAGGCAAUUAGCGCAUCAAAAUAUGCAAAUCCUUCUUACUACAUAGUCCUCCCGGCUGGAGUCGGAGUAAUUCCCCCCCUGCUCGGUUCGUGGGUGUUUGAUUGCCGUUUGGAGAACCAACAUAGUCUUGUUUGUUCCUCCAAGAAGCUUUUUUUCUCUUAAUGCGAACGGGACAGAACGGAGCGAUGAGGAGAAGGGGAACCGCGGCUCCUGCGUGGAAGAGAAAAGCGCCCAUGCGUAAUGAGAGGAGCCGCUCCGCCAUUCUUAAUUCCCCGACGCCGUGGGCUCUUGGUGAUCAAGCAGAGAGAAGCGCGCGACCACGUUCAGCUUCCAGGAGCAGAAUAAUGAGAUUUUCCAUCAACUUCUCACAUAUUUAAAUGAUCGCACGUUUUACAGUGUGACCUUCGGUUGUCAAAGCGCAUUACACCACACAUUUAAAAAGGUGACUAUGUUAUUUUUUAUGACAUUAUUCGUAAAAUAAAUAAAUAAAUAAAUAAAUAAUAAAAUAUCUGCUACAUCAAUGUAACGUCGCGUAAAAUCUAUUUCGAUUUGAGUUCAAAUAUGAUCAAAAUGAAGCAUCACUAUUGAAUCAGUAAAAUGCGCUCUUCAUGUUCCAAUCCUUGAAAAUCCCGCUGAUUGGGCCUGGAAAUAUGAUUAAUCUGCAGGCCUGUUGCUGAGCUCCUUCAUUGUAUUCUCAUUCGUUUAGUAAAGAUUAUACGUUUUUUGUUGUUGUUUACCAAAAUAAAUAAAAUGUUUUCCAAAGAAAUUGUAUCGAAUGCGUGUUUUUUUCUGAUGCUUGGUGCUCGUUGGUUUUAAGGGAAAUAUGGACUUCAGGCAGUUCUUGGAUUUUUAGAACAUUUAUUUUUCCCAAGCAGAUUAAAGGUGUAAUAAAACGGAGCCAUGCUGAUUUUCGUGUAUAUUAAAUGGGUAGUGCAAGGCCUGACAACAUUUUAAAUCAUUGUUCUUUCUUCUUUUUUAUUUUUCUAUCAACAAACGAGUUCCUGAGAUGGUAAACUCACAAGGAAUUUGGCGUCUUUAAGAUUUUAUUUUCUUUUAUCAAAAGAGAAAAAAAUGAGGAGCUUUGACUGAUCAUUUAAUGUUAUUUGGAUUUGAACAAAUGUAGUUUUUGUGUUAAAAAUGAAGACACCGCGGUCUGAAAGGCAUCACUGAAACACAAUGACUAAGAAACACAUUUUAACAAAGUAAAAGGGAUUUUAAGGGAAAAAAAUGCAGGAUUAAAAUAGAAAAGUUAUUUUUUGGAGCUAAUUUUUCUUUAAUAAUAUUUACAAGGAAUUACUAUAUUUUAAUUCCAAAAUUAUAGACAUAAAGGCAUAUAUAUAUGUAUGAAAAACAAGUUUAUUUUUUUAUUUUGGUUCAUUCUAAAAUAUGCCCCGGUACUAUUUAUUAUUAUUACUAUCCAAUAUGAAGGACAUUGAUAAAAACACUCUUGAUAGAUUAAUAUUUGAUUCAUAUUUUUCAAAUGUUUUUUUAUGUAUUUAUUUAUUUUAUUGUUUAUUGCUUCUUGUUAGUGUUCACUUGUGAAAAUAAAAACAAUAUUUUAUAAUAAGAAUGUGUCUGUUCUAACGAUUUCAUUGUUCUGUUUUGACUAAAGUUCUACAAGGAAAGUGUUGUAAACCUUUAUGAUGACUUUUGCUUCAGGAAAAAUCUUUAUUGUUUUAUUUAUUUUUUUAAAUUUCCGUUUGUAUUAAAUUCAGCCCUUUCUCUGGCCUUAUGUGGACACAUGUUGAACACAACAAAAACCACACGAGUCACAUCAGGAUAACUAAGAAAGCCAGUAACUUUACUGAAAUCUCUUCAAAAUACAAAUAGCCUUUUCCCCCCUUCAGCAGUGGAGACUUUUGCUUCAUCUCCAAACAUUUUUACGACACACAGAAUCAAGUCCCUUGAGUUACAGAGAUGUGAUUUAAUUCAAACCAUCUUCGUCUCAAGUGGCGACAAAGGCCAGCUUAUGCCGCUGAAAGCCGCUCUUGCCUUCCAGAAAAACAUUGGUUCCCAACCUUUUUUUUUCUCAUUUUUUUAAUUUAAGGGUAAUACAAGCUACAUUAAAACUACCGACCAGCUUUUGAAAUAUUUAACAUAUCACUUCUUUUUUUUUAUGUUUUGAGCACAACUUAAAUAAACCACAAACACAGUGAGCAACAGAGAAUGUCCCAAGUGACUGUCCAGAAGUCAAGCAAGUGUAUGUUUUAUUUUUACAUGGCUGUACAGGUGUAUGGUCUCCCCUUUGCACUGCAAGUGACUUAUCAAAAAAUCCACUGAGGUACUGCUUGGGUCCAUUUUUGAGGUACUAACAUUAUAGUCUGUUAAAGUAUGAAAAAGAACACCAAACAAGGAAAAUCAAUGGCUUUAAAUUUAAACAGAAAAAAAAA